GACGAACGCUGGCGGCGCGCCUAACACAUGCAAGUCGAACGGAGCUUAGAGAGCUUGCUUUUUAAGCUUAGUGGCGAACGGGUGAGUAACGCGUGAGUAACCUGCCCUAGAGUGGGGGACAACAGUUGGAAACGACUGCUAAUACCGCAUAAGCCCACGGUACCGCAUGGUACUGAGGGAAAAGGAUUUAUUCGCUUUAGGAUGGACUCGCGUCCAAUUAGCUAGUUGGUGAGGUAACGGCCCACCAAGGCGACGAUUGGUAGCCGGACUGAGAGGUUGAACGGCCACAUUGGGACUGAGACACGGCCCAGACUCCUACGGGAGGCAGCAGUGGGGGAUAUUGCACAAUGGGGGAAACCCUGAUGCAGCGACGCCGCGUGGAGGAAGAAGGUUUUCGGAUUGUAAACUCCUGUCGUUAGGGACGAUAAUGACGG
rnacentral:rRNA from 1 species